UGAGAAGACAGAUCUGGAGAAAAUUCAAGAAAAUGAAUCUCUCUCUUUAUAUAUAAACAAGGUGGAGUGGAAGACAAUGCCUGCAUUUAUGGUUAACUAUAAGUGAUACACUAGGAAGAUGAUGGUAUUCAGACACACACAAACAAUUUGAUUCAGACAGAUUGGAUACAAGAUUUCAACCAGCAUAAGGAGAACAGAACAACUUGGAUCCCAGUGAGAAUGAACAGACCUGAUUUACAAGAUUCUGAUACUUGCUGCUCAUGGCCUUUUUAAAGUACUUUCUAUAAAAUCCUGUGCAGAUGAAAGAUUUUUUCCAUGAAGACAAAGUUCAAAAUACAACAAAAUUCAAAUGUGAUUAUCUGAUGUUUAUUGUAAUAGAAGGGGCAACAUUUACCUGAAUCUCUAUUCCUUGAGCAUCCAAAUCUUCCAGUGCAGUGGAAGACUGCAAAAUCAGGCCCUGAGCCAACAUGAAGUAACAUUUUUUACAAGCAAAUAAGGAAGCCAAUGUAACUCUCGACUGUGUGAUAACAUUCAGGAGAUCACGGCAUUUUUCAGUCUUACCCAGCUCUUAUAAAUUAACGUGGAACCAAUGUCUCCAUUUAACCAAAGCUCUAUGCGCAGAAAGGGAGAAACCUACAGGGUUCAUGUGACAGGGUAACAUACAGUGAAAAUGGAAUCACACAGCAGAGAGUUCACAGCUGCAAAAGGAUGGUAAAUAGCCGAGGCUUCUGACAUGGAUGAGAUGUUGCUGUCACCAAACAGGAAGAGUGUUAUAGUGAAACCAUUGAUCAAACACCAGCCUUAUGCUUUAUGGGAACUCAAGAAACUAACUGUAGAAUUUUUUGGACACAAAUCAAGAAAUAGAGACCAUGUAGAAAUGAGAUAACAUAAAAGCGACCGAGUGAAAAGAUCAGAAGGAAAAGUCUGAUGAAACUGAAAAAAAUGAUUUCGUGACAUUCAGGUGGAAUUUUUUCUUAGUUCUUUCCAGUCAUUUCUCAGCUCAAAUUUUCAUUUUUUAGUAAUUUCAUGAAAUUCAUAUUUUUGUACCAAAAACCUGUAAGAUUUUAAAUUGUGCCUAUUUUCAAAUCAAAUUUCAAAAUUUUACAUUGUGUACUCAUAAUAGCCUUAUUAUCAACCAAAACGUGUAUAAUUCUGUUUUUUUUUUUUCAUUUUAUUGUUUUUGUAAAACGAACCAUUUUUGAACAUUUGGAACACAGUGCAAAAUACUGUGAUUUAUGAUGUUUUAGAAUAUAAAAGAGUUUUUGACUCUUUGCAGUAGUUGUAUUAAGGAGUAAUUGAGCAAUACAAUAGUUGGAGUGAGUGGCAAAUAGCAUAUAUAGGUCAUGAUCCUGAAAAGAGAUACAGGCAUACUUAAAAGGGACAUAGUUUUUUAUUGAAAUGUCUUGAUGAUAGAAAGUGUCAGGUAAGUUGUCACAGAUGAUAAUGGCACUAGAGUAAAGGUGAUGGUGCUGUUUGUGAUGUGGAUUGUUGACCCCCAGCAACUGAACUAAUAACAAUGCAUGUCAUAUAGGCCACAAAGCAGCUUAGUGUGUACUAAGGGUGAAAUCCUGCCCCCCUACUGAAGUCAAUGGGGCCAGGAUAGUCACUACUGACCUGGAAAACAUUCAAAUCAAUGCUGUGAUGGUGAAAAAACUCCUAACCCCAUAACCAAACCUGUGACUAACCCAGCUUCCCAAAUUUUACUCAUUGAUGUAAAUAACCACUGAGAAUUGUUCAUCUUCUGUAUUUCCAUUUGCAUGGCAAAUGUAUACAUUAUACUUUAAUAUAUUGUUCCCCAUAAGAAAGAUUUAAAUAUUUGUAAAAAGAGACAAGCUGUCUGAAGAAGACAUU